UUUGGCAAUAGUUAGAAUUCACACUGUAUCUGAUAUGACGUCAGUGGUUCUAAUUUUGCCAAGUA
rnacentral:pre_miRNA from 1 species